UGAACGCUGGCGGCGUGCCUAAUACAUGCAAGUCGAGCGAACAGACGAGGAGCUUGCUCCUCUGACGUUAGCGGCGGACGGGUGAGUAACACGUGGAUAACCUACCUAUAAGACUGGGAUAACUUCGGGAAACCGGAGCUAAUACCGGAUAAUAUAUUGAACCGCAUGGUUCAAUAGUGAAAGACGGUUUUGCUGUCACUUAUAGAUGGAUCCGCGCCGCAUUAGCUAGUUGGUAAGGUAACGGCUUACCAAGGCAACGAUGCGUAGCCGACCUGAGAGGGUGAUCGGCCACACUGGAACUGAGACACGGUCCAGACUCCUACGGGAGGCAGCAGUAGGGAAUUUUCCGCAAUGGGCGAAAGCUUGACGCAGCAACGCCGCGUGAGUGAUGAAGGUCUUCGGAUCGUAAAACUCUGUUAUUAGGGAAGAACAAAUGUGUAAGUAACUAUGCACGUCUUGACGGUACCUAAUCAGAAAGCCACGGCUAACUACGUG
rnacentral:rRNA from 1 species